ACUUGUCUAGCUCAGUUGGUAAAAUACAAAGCUCUAAACCUUAUGGUCAUGGGUUUGAGCCCCAUGGUGGGCG
rnacentral:tRNA from 7 species